UACGGAGGGUGCGAGCGUUGUCCGGAAUCACUGGGCGUAAAGGGCGCGUAGGCGGCGCGGGCAGUCAACGGUGAAAGCUCGGAGCUCAACUCCGAGUCGGCCGUCGAUACUCCCGUGCUUGAGCACUGUAGAGGCAGGUGGAAUUCCGGGCGUAGCGGUGGAAUGCGUAGAGAUACGGAAGAACACCGGUGGCGAAGGCGGCCUGCUGGGCAGUAGCUGACGCUGAGGCGCGACAGCGUGGGGAGCAAACAGG
rnacentral:rRNA from 1 species